rnacentral:rRNA from 1 species
CGUGUAGGCGGUCCGAUAAGUCGAGUGUGAAAGCCCGAGGCUCAACCUCGGAAGCGCACUCGAAACUGGCGGGCUUGAGUACGGGAGAGGGAAGUGGAAUUCCUGGUGUAGAGGUGAAAUUCGUAGAUAUCAGGAGGAACACCGGUGGCGAAGGCGGCUUCCUGGACCGAUACUGACGCUGAGACGCGAAAGCGUGGGGAGCAAACA